UUCGGUGUCGAUAUUCAAUGGUAUUUGAUUUCGGUACCUUACCCUUACUGAAUCUGUAACACCUUGUUUGUAACAACUACAACAUUUAAUUAAACACAAUACAAACCCCUCUCCUCCACCCUCUUCCUUCCUAAAGUAUGAACAUAUGAACAGGGGAUAGUAAA